rnacentral:rRNA from 1 species
UACAGAGGGUGCGAGCGUUAUUCGGAAUGACUGGGCGUAAAGCGUGCGUAGACGGUUAUUUAAGUCGGGUGUGAAAGCCCCGGGCUCAACCUGGGAAUUGCAUUCGAGACUGAAUAGCUAGGGUACGGUAGAGGGAAGCGGAAUUUCCGGUGUAGCGGUGAAAUGCGUAGAUAUCGGAAGGAACAUCAGUGGCGAAAGCGGCUUCCUGGACCAGUACCGACGUUCAGGCACGAAAGCGUGGGGAGCAAACAGG